AAUAUGCCACUGCCCGUUAUUUUCUUUUCAUCCAAUUUUUUUUCACGAUUUUUCCUACUCCAUCUUACAACCGACGCCACCACACCCGCAUGCCGAUCUCGACAGCGCCAUGAGUUGCCUACACAGAAAAUAAAAAUAAAUAGUUUGUGAUUUUAUUAACCCGUAGCAACGCGCGGGCACACCUGCUAGAUUUUAACUUUUCAAUUGAUUCAGUUCAAAACACCGUUCCGGCGUUCCCCCUCUCGUAUUCUCCCCGUUACCCAAUUUUCUUUUCAUCCAGUUUUUUUCAUGAUUUUUCCUACUCCAUCUUACAACCGACGCCAUCACACCCGCAUGCCGACCUCGACAGCGCCAUGAGUUGCCUACACAGAAAAUAAAAAUAAAUAGUUUGUGAUUUUAUUGACCCGUAGCAACGCGCGGGCACACCUGCUAGAUUUUAACUUUUUAAUUGGUUCAGUUCAAAACACCGUUCCGGCGUUCUCCCUCCCGUAUUCUCCCCGUUACCCAAUUUCCCCAUACCCGUGGCUUACCUGAAACUCCAUGGCUCCCGCUGGCCGCUGGUUCCUCAUCAAGUGGCCUCCUCCUCCUCCUCCUCCUCCAGCGGACUCCGCCACCGCCACCUCCUUUCUCGCAGACCCGCCGCCGCCUCCUGUUGCGGCCCACGGCGCCGCCGCCUUCUGCAGUGGUCGCUGCCGCAGACUGCUGCUGUUCCCAUAGACGCCGUCGUCACCGAUGACUCCUCUUCUAGUAACGUUUGGUUUUGAGACGCAUUGGUAUUUUUUGGCAGGCUAGCUAGCAACGGCCUGCUCGUCGU
rnacentral:lncRNA from 1 species